rnacentral:rRNA from 1 species
CCUACGGGUGGCAGCAGUGGGGAAUAUUGCACAAUGGGGGAAACCCUGAUGCAGCGACGCCGCGUGAAGGAAGACGUAUUUCUGUAUUUAAACUUCUAUCAGCAGGGAAGUAAAUCACGGUACCUGACUCAGAAUCCCCGGCUAACUACGUGCCAGCAGCCGCGGUAAUACGGAGGGGGCAAGCGUUAUCCGGAUUUACUGGGUGUAAAGGGAGCGUAGGGGGUUUAACAAGUCAGAAGUGAAAGCCCGGGGCUCAACUCCGGGACUGCUUUUGAAACUGUUGGACUAGAUUGCAGGCGAGGUAAGUGGAAUUCGUGGUGUAGCGGUGAAAUGCGUAGAUAUUAGGAAGAACACCAGUGGCGAAGGCAGCUUACUGGACUGUGAAUGACGCUGAGGCUCGAAAGCGUGGGGAGCAAACAGGAUUAGAUACCCCAGUAGUC